GACGAACGCUGGCGGCGUGCCUAAUACAUGCAAGUCGAGCGGACGAAUCGAAAGCUUGCUUUUGAUUCGUUAGCGGCGGACGGGUGAGUAACACGUGGGCAACCUGCCCUGUAGACGGGGAUAACAUCGAGAAAUCGGUGCUAAUACCGGAUAACACGAAAUGUCGCAUGACGCUUCGUUGAAAGACGGCGCAGGCUGUCGCUACAGGAGGGGCCCGCGGCGCAUUAGCUAGUUGGUGAGGUAACGGCUCACCAAGGCGACGAUGCGUAGCCGACCUGAGAGGGUGAUCGGCCACACUGGGACUGAGACACGGCCCAGACUCCUACGGGAGGCAGCAGUAGGGAAUCUUCCGCAAUGGACGAAAGUCUGACGGAGCAACGCCGCGUGAGCGAAGAAGGCCUUCGGGUCGUAAAGCUCUGUUGUUAGGGAAGAACAAGUAACGCAGUAACUGGCGUUACCUUGACGGUACCUAACGAGAAAGCCACGGCUAACUACGUG
rnacentral:rRNA from 1 species